UACGUAGGGGGCGAGCGUUGUCCGGAUUUAUUGGGCGUAAAGAGCUCGUAGGCGGUUUGGUAAGUCGGAUGUGAAAUCUCCACGCUCAACGUGGAGAGGCCAUUCGGUACUGCCAUGACUAGAGUCCGGUAGAGGAAUGUGGAAUUCCCGGUGUAGCGGUGAAAUGCGCAGAGAUCGGGAGGAACACCCGUAGCGAAGGCGGCAUUCUGGGCCGGUACUGACGCUGAGGAGCGAAAGCGUGGGGAGCGAACAGG
rnacentral:rRNA from 1 species